AUUGCACGCUGGCGGCAGGCUUAACACAUGCAAGUCGAACGAGUGGCGGACGGGUGAGUAAUGCUUGGGAAUCUGGCUUAUGGAGGGGGAUAACGACGUGAAACUGUCGCUAAUACCGCGUACCAUAGGAUGAGCACAAGUGGGAUUAGGUAGUUGGUGGGGUAAAGACCUACCAAGCUGAAGAUCUAUAGCUGGUCUGAGAGGAUGACCAUCGACACCGGGACUGAGAGACGGCCCUGACUCCUACGGGAGGCAGCAGUGGGGAAUAUUGGACAAGGGGCGCAAGCCUGAUCCAGCCAGGCCGCGUGUCUGAAGAAGGCCUUCGGGUUGUAAAGGACUUUUGUUAGGGAAGCGGUACCUAAAGAAUAAGCACCGGCUAACUACGUGCCAGCAGCCGCGGUAAUAC
rnacentral:rRNA from 1 species